GAUGAACGCUGGCGGCGUGCCUAAUACAUGCAAGUCGAGCGAACGGACGAGAAGCUUGCUUCUCUGAUGUUAGCGGCGGACGGGUGAGUAACACGUGGAUAACCUACCUAUAAGACUGGGAUAACUUCGGGAAACCGGAGCUAAUACCGGAUAAUAUUUUGAACCGCAUGGUUCAAAAGUGAAAGACGGUCUUGCUGUCACUUAUAGAUGGAUCCGCGCUGCAUUAGCUAGUUGGUAAGGUAACGGCUUACCAAGGCAACGAUGCAUAGCCGAGCUGAGAGGGUGAUAGGCCACACGGGAGCUGAGACACGGUCCAGACUCCUACGGGAGGCAGCAGUAGGGAAUCUUCUGCAAUGGGCGAAAGCCUGACGGAGCGACGCCGCGUGAGUGAUGAAGGUCUUCGGAUCGUAAAACUCUGUUAUUAGGGAAGAACAUAUGUGUAAGUAACUGUGCACAUCUUGACGGUACCUAAUCAGAAAGCCACGGCUAACUACGUG
rnacentral:rRNA from 1 species